rnacentral:rRNA from 1 species
ACUCCUACGGAAGGCAGCAGUAACGAAUCUUCCGCAAUGGGCGAAAAGCCUGACGGAGCAAUGCCGCGUGCGGGAUGAAGUAUCUUCUGGUAUGUAAACCGCUGUCAGGGGGCAGAAACAAUGAUUGCCCCCAGAGGAAGUGGCGACUAACUCUGUGCCAGCAGCCGCGGUAAU